rnacentral:rRNA from 1 species
GAUGAACGCUGGCGGCGUGCCUAAUACAUGCAAGUCGAGCGAACAGACGAGGAGCUUGCUCCUCUGACGUUAGCGGCGGACGGGUGAGUAACACGUGGAUAACCUACCUAUAAGACUGGGAUAACUUCGGGAAACCGGAGCUAAUACCGGAUAAUAUAUUGAACCGCAUGGUUCAAUAGUGAAAGACGGCUUUGCUGUCACUUAUAGAUGGAUCCGCGCCGUAUUAGCUAGUUGGUAAGGUAACGGCUUACCAAGGCGACGAUGCGUAGCCGACCUGAGAGGGUGAUCGGCCACACUGGAACUGAGACACGGUCCAGACUCCUACGGGAGGCAGCAGUAGGGAAUCUUCCGCAAUGGGCGAAAGCCUGACGGAGCAACGCCGCGUGAGUGAUGAAGGUCUUCGGAUCGUAAAACUCUGUUAUCAGGGAAGAACAAAUGUGUAAGUAACUGUGCACGUCUUGACGGUACCUGAUCAGAAAGCCACGGCUAACUACGUG